GGCAGGGCAGCUUCGGAAGCAGAAUUGAACCAAGGGGACAGUACCACCAGGGACGGUGUGGUGCGGGGAGCUUUCCAGAAGAGGGAGCAGCUCGUUCAAAGCCAGCAGCAUGUGAGGGCUGGGUGUCUUCUGAUGGUCCCUGGUUGCUCUGUGAGCCUGGGGAAUGAAGAGGCAUAACGUGGGGGCUGAAGACAACAUGAGUCCGGAGAGGCAGGUGGGCCAGUACCUGGCUCACCCCAAGGAGUGUGACUGCCCGAGCACGUGGCCCUGGGAGGGAACACAUUGCUAGCAUGCAACAGCAGCAGGAAUAAUGGCUGCUGCUUCUGCGGUUCGUGCUGACCAGGACUGUGCUAAGUGCUUUAGAUUUUUCUUUCAUCCUUGCAGCGACUCCGUGCAGUUAGAGGAGCCUGAGCUGUUUCCAGGGGAGGGGGCUCACCCAAGGUCUCAGGGAUUUGAACCUGCCAGACUGGCUAAGCUCUUCACCUGUGUGCUGUGUUGCUCAAGCCCCUGACCGUGUCCUUCUUGGAGUCUGGAAAAAGCAUGGGAAGGAGGGCAAGGGAGAGUUUGGGGGCUGGGGGAAGGAGCUUGUGAAGUAGGCUUCAGGGCAGGGAGAUGGGGCCUCACGAUGAUCUCGUUCUCUCUCUGUCCCCUUUACAGCCCUGGCAGGUGCCCGGCCCGCCCCCCACCCUCCGGCUCCCAGGGCCUGCUGGAGGAGAUGUUGGCAGCCAGCAGCUCCAAGGCGGUGGCUCGGAGGGAGUCAGCGGCCUCGGGCCUUGGGGGCCUGUUGGAGGAGGAAGGAGCCGGGGCAGGUGCUGCCCAAGAGGAGGUGCUGGAGCCUGGCAGGGACUCUCCACCCUCCUGGAGGCCCCAGCCUGAUGGUGAGGCCAGCCAGACAGAAGACGUGGAUGGCACCUGGGGCUCUUCAGCAGCCAGGUGGAGCGAUCAGGAGCCAGCACAGACUUCUCGGCGACCCUCCCAAGGCCCUCCUGCCAGAUCCCCCAGUCAGGACUUCUCCUUCAUUGAGGACACCGAGAUCCUCGACAGUGCCAUGUAUCGGAGCCGUGCCAACUUGGGGCGCAAGCGUGGGCACCGGGCCCCGGCCAUUCGGCCUGGGGGUACCUUGGGCCUGUCAGAGGCAGCAGACUCGGAUGCACGCCUGUUCCAGGACUCUACAGAGCCACGGGCAUCUCGGGUGCUAUCUUCAGAUGAAGAGGUAGUGGAGGAACCUCAGAGCCGCCGGACACGGAUGUCGUUGGGCACCAAGGGGCUGAAAGUCAACCUCUUUCCUGGCCUGAGCCCCUCAGCCCUGAAGGCCAAGCUGCGCCCCCGGAAUCGCUCAGCUGAGGAGGGAGAGCUGGCUGAGAGCAAGUCGAGCCAGAAGGAGUCCGCGGUCCAGCGUUCGAAAUCCUGCAAGGUCCCAGGACUGGGAAAGCCCCUCACGUUACCUCCCAAGCCAGAGAAAUCCUCAGGGUCAGAAGGAUCGUCGCCCAACUGGCUUCAAGCCCUGAAACUGAAGAAGAAGAAGGUCUGAGAAGUCACUGAGGUUCUUCCCACCUGGCAGUCUCAGGCAGUGCCCAUUCCUGUGGGGUCCCUGGGUGAGGAGACGGCUGGAGCCCCACCAUGCCCCAGGCUGCAGCCUCUGUCCCUUCCACCUCUGAGGAGCGUCUGGGGAGGCACAUUUAUGCACUUUGUAUCACCUUCCGAACUCCCCCCACACCUUCCCUUCCCUGGAUUUCAUCACUAGUGGUUGAAGGUUUUGUCCCUUCCUCUCCUCCUUCCCUCUCCCUCUCUGCUUCCUCCUCCAGCCUCCCUUGGGUUUUCUUUUGAUACCAAUUUAUAGCAUUUUUUAUAAAAGCCUUUGAUUUUUAUAAUGGGUGGGACUGUAUCCCUGCCUCACCCCAGGUCUCCCUCUGCCCCGCCAGGUACCCCACAGAGACCAAUGACAUUUU
rnacentral:sRNA from 1 species